CCCAGCACCCUUUCGUGAUGCACUGCAUCCUUAGCGGGGAGCGGGGCUUCGAUGAUCGCUCGGUUUGAACGGACGGAACGAAUUCUGGAGUGGU
rnacentral:snoRNA from 1 species